rnacentral:rRNA from 1 species
GUCUUUUUGAUUAUAAUUUAAAGUCUGGCCUGCCCAAUGAGUAUUUAAAUGGCCGCGGUAAUUUGACCGUGCAAAGGUAGCAUAAUCAUUAGUUUUUUAAUUGGAAGCUGGUAUGAACGGUCGGACGAGAAAAUGACUGUCUCUGUUUGAUUAAAUAGAAUUUUAUUUGUGAGUAAAAAAGCUCACAUGAUUUUAAAAGACGAGAAGACCCUAUAGAAUUUUACAAGGAUUAGUUAGGUUACGGUUAGGAUACUGUGUUAUUUAGCUAUUAACUUGUUUUGUUGGGGCGACAGAGAAAUUGAUUUAACUUUCUUUAUUUGAAUUCAUUAAUUUAUGUGUCUAUGAUCCGGUUUUUUCGAUUAUAAGAUUAAAUUACCUUAGGGAUAACAGCGUAAUUUUUCUUGGGAGUUCUUAUCUAAAGAAGAGUUUGCGACCUCGAUGUUGGAUUAAAAUUAACUUUUGGUGCAGUAGCUAGGGGGUUAGGUCUGUUCGACCUUUAAAAUUUUACAUGAUCUGAGU